GUCGAGAAAGACCUUGCCUGCUGGCGCCGGACGAAAGUAAGACUCUCGUCGUCUGGCACAGCAACGACUCAAU
ensembl:ncRNA Y37F4.15 ncRNA